rnacentral:lncRNA from 1 species
UAUAUAUUGUUUUUUUAAUCAUUGUACGCAUAUAUAUUUAUUAAAAUUUUAGUUUUGUUUUAGAAAAAAAAAAUAGCUAUGUAACUAAUUUUGAAUUUUUAUAUUAAUAUAAAUAAUAAUUUUGAAUUUUAUAUUUUAUAUUUUAUAUUUUAUAUUUUAUAUUUUAUAUUUUAUAUUUUUAAUAAUAUAUUAUUUUGUUGCAUUAAAAAUAAAAAAAAAUAUAAUAUAAUUUAGAUAAAAAUAGUUUACAUAUAAUAUUACUAAUUUUUUCUAAUUUAGAUAAUAAAAAAUAAUUAUAUGAUUUUAUAAAUAACUAAAUAAAAAAUCAUGCAUCGUUAUCUUCGUAUAAUCUUUUUCAUCGCUGCUGUUUCUACAUCAUUAAAUAAGGUUUUAUCGAGUGAUGUUAUCGGUGAAAAUGUAGCACAUUAUAGUGGAAUGUACCCCCAAAUGCACAAAUUAUAUCCACAGGACAUACAAUAUGCAAAAAAAGAAAUUAACGUAAAAAAAAAACAACUAAAUGUUGAAUUAAAUAAACAGGACAAAAUUUUUGAUAAAAUUAUAGAUGAAAAAAAUAUAUAUAAUUUAAUAAAACCAGGUAUAAAAUAUUUUGAAAGCCUUAUAUCGAAACCUGUGUCACAAGAAAAUAUAACCGAUAUUGACUUUAAAAAACAAAUUUUAAAUUUAAAAAAUAGUAAACAAAAAACAAAAAAGGAAAUUGAGAUUAAAGCACAAGAAGAACCUGUGGAAGAAGAACUUGUAGUAGAAGAACAUGUGGAAAAAAAACCUGUAGUAAAAAAACGUAUUAUAGCAGAAAUUUCGAAAGAAGAAUACGAGGAAGCAAAACCUGUUGAAGAAAACCCUAAAAAAAAAAAAUCUCGAUUUAUAUUACUCGAGAAAAAACAAUCUAAAAAAAAUAAAAAUGAAGAAAAACAAGCUGAAGAGAAAAAAACUGAAGAAGCAAAAGCUGAAGUAAAAAAAAAAGAAGAGCAAGCUGAAGAAAAAAAAAAUGAAGAAGAACAGGCUGAAGAAAAAAAAAAUGAAGAAGAACAAGCUGAAGAAAAAAAAAAUGAAGAAGAACAAGCUGAAGAAACAUCUAAUAAGAAUGAACAAAUCGAAAAAAGUAUUAAAACUAAACAGCCAGACAGACUUCCAGUAAGAAAAGUCCCUGAAAAGAUGGUGUUUGGCGAUUACAUCACAGAAAAUGAAUUUUACAGAUAGCAAGCUAGAGUAUUGCGGGGCCAAUAAAAGCAACGAUACACAUCA